UAGUAUGUCAACCAUGAAAGCGGUGUCAUGUCUGCUACAAAGAGACAACAACGUGAACCUCCUUUUAAGGUUUUAGAUGAUUUAAAGAUAAACAGCACGACUGAGAUAAUGUUUGAAAGUAAUAAAGCAGAUAAGGCAAUUAUACCACAAAGUCCAACUCAACUUAAGGCAACAAUGACUAGUCAAGAUGCAGUAAAAAAGCUGACAACUUCCACACAAUUUGGAAACCCAUCAUCAUGCCAGGAUAUAAAUCAGGAAGCAGUCAAUUUUGCAUAUUCGAAAUCUUCAUCUUCUGCACAGAGACGGUACCAAGCAACAACUGAACCCAUAAAGUUCCUAGACGAUGUCAAUGCUUCUACGUUUGACCAGUGGAAUCAAGCUACUUUACAGCUGACUUAUAACAACACAGGUCUUUUUGUGGGAGCAACAAGAUUUCGUACAAACAAACCUAACUCAGACCAAAGUAUAGGUGAGCAAGAUGACUGUACGUUGCUAUCCCCGUAUAGAGCAAUGGAAUGGAUAUAUAUUGAUGCUCUUAGAUAUACGAAACCACAGAUAACCAAAGGGAUAUCAUGAUAAAUAUAAAAAAAUCCAUUAUA